rnacentral:lncRNA from 1 species
UCCGCACCACCACCAUCGUCUUCUUCACACUGCACCACCACCAUAAUCAUUCAACCCAUUCAAGAACUCAAGAUUUUUUUUUCUUUAUUUGUAUUUUUCCAAAGGUGCUAAUUUUAUCAGGAAAAAAAAAAAAGAAAGCAAUAGUCAACAAAUAAACACUUAAGCCUAGUCGAAACAACAUCAGUCAAGCAAGUACACGGCAGCAACAUACAAAUCAGCAAUACACAGAAAAACACUCAAGACUAGGAAAAAAAAAACAAAUUUUGGCACAACAGAGAAAAGAGACGAGAUGCAACAGAAGCAACAACCAAAGGAUAGCAGGAACAGAAUUCGGGGUAUCAGGUUCUUAAAUCUUUUGAGUCUUCGUUCGAGAACCCCAACAGUGGGAAGGCAGGGAGGACCGAGGGAAAGCCAUAACUGAAUUUCCAAGCCUAUCUAACAGCCAAUGGCAUAAAUCGAGUUUAAGGUAGUUUGAGACUUGGGUGUUGGUUUCAUGGAGUUCGAGGUUAUGCUUGUGAAAUCUAAACUGGAGAAGAGAUAGAGGAGGCUUGGAGCUUUCUUUUGAUCGGUAGUCCGAAGCCGGAGUGUGGCGGUGUGGCAGUGGAGAGGCUGAGAAGCUGCUGGGGUUCGAAAGAUAAAGAAAGAAAGCUUUUUAAUUUUCUAGGAGAAGGUGCAAAAAU